rnacentral:rRNA from 1 species
UACGUAGGCAGCAAGCGUUGUUCGGAAUUACUGGGCGUAAAGAGUGUGUAGGCGGUGCUCUAAGUUCGGUGUGAAAUCUCCCGGCUUAACUGGGAGGGUGCGCCGGAAACUGGAGUGCUCGAGCGUGGGAGAGGAAAGCGGAAUUCCUGGUGUAGCGGUGAAAUGCGCAGAUAUCUGGAGGAACACCGGUGGCGAAGGCGGCGUCCUGGACCAACACUGACACUGAGGAGCGAAAGCCAGGGGAGCAAACGGG